rnacentral:lncRNA from 1 species
CCGCGUUAAGGACAGUUUCAGACCUUGUGACCUGACUCGCCAUAUCCAAAACACAUAUCACUGUUAGCUCUACACACCCCCUUAUGAUAUUUACCAUACUCUUCGCAAAGAAGAUUAGUAAAACUCCUGCUCUUACUACCCUAGGCCUUAAAUUCGGGCACCCCAUCCCUACAGUCAUUUUUGAACUUUGGUACUGGCGCACUAGCUAAGGAUGGAACUAGGACUGAAAAUUUUUUACUAUGCUGAGAACGGUUACCACCCUGCAACCCUAGCUGAGAAAAACUAUAACUACCUGUUCCGGCUCUCUUAUUCUAUCUUUCUCCAUCUUCUUAAGCUUUUGUUCUUCAAUUUAUUGAACAUGGACCAUAUGCC